rnacentral:rRNA from 1 species
GAUGAACGCUGGCGGCGUGCCUAAUACAUGCAAGUCGAACGAACGGACGAGAAUCUUGCUUCUCUGAUGUUAGCGGCGGACGGGUGAGUAACACGUGGAUAACCUACCUAUAAGACUGGGAUAACUUCGGGAAACCGGAUCUAAUACCGGAUAAUAGUUUGAACCGCAUGGUUCAAAAGUGAAAGACGGUCUUGCUGGCACGUAUAGAUGGAUCCACGCUGCAUUAGCUAGUUGGUAAGGUAACGGCUUACCAAGGCAACGAUGCAUAGCCGACCUGAGAGGCGGACCGGCCACACUGGAACUGAGACACGGCCCAGACUCCUACGGGAGGCAGCAGUGGGGAAUCUUCGGCAAUGGGCGAAAGCCUGACGCAGCAACGCCGCGUGAGUGAUGAAGGUCUUCGGAUCGUAAAACUCUGUUAUUAGGGAAGAAAAGAUGUGUACGUAAAUGUGCAUACCUUGACGGUACCUAAUGAGAAAGCACCGGCUAACUACGUG